CCUACGGGUGGCAGCAGUGAGGAAUAUUGGUCAAUGGACGCAAGCCUGAACCAGCCAAGUAGCGUGCAGGAUGACUGCCCUAUGGGUUGUAAACUGCUUUUACAUGGGGAUAAAACGCUCCACGUGUGGGGUUCUGUAGGUACCAUAUGAAUAAGGAUCGGCUAAUUCCGUGCCAGCAGCCGCGGUAAUACGGAGGGUCCGAGCGUUCUCCGGAUUUAUUGGGUUUAAAGGGAGCGUAGGUGGAUUGUUAAGUCAGUUGUGAAAGUUUGCGGCUCAACCGUCGGAUUGCAGUUGAAACGGGCCGUCUUGAGUACAGUAGAGGUAGGCGGAAUUCGUGGUGUAGCGGUGAAAUGCAUAGAUAUCACGAGGAACCCCGAUUGCGAAGGCAGCUUGCUGGACUGCAACUGACGCUGAGGCUCGAAAGUGCGGGUAUCAAACAGGAUUAGAUACCCUUGUAGUC
rnacentral:rRNA from 1 species